GGUGGCUUAGUGGUAGAGUGUUUGCCUUGCAUGCAUGAGGCCCUGGGUUCAAUUCCUCAGCACCA
rnacentral:tRNA from 1 species